ensembl:lncRNA
AAGGGACAAAUAGCACUGGUAAAGGACUAAAAUCAAGCCAGAACUUGUCUGAAUGAGUUCACUCAGAACAUACAACAUAUUUGAUGAAAGUGUUCAAGUAGUGUAGAGAGCAGUUUAAAGAAAUUCUUGCCUCCCUCUGUGGGUGAAGUGAGAGUUCCACCUGUUGCAGGAGAUCCAAAAUUUGUUUCUGAAAAUACGGGUGGCAGUGAGGCCAUCCAGAGAGACCUAGACAGGCUCGAGCUGUGGGCCCAGGUGAACCUCAUGAGGCUCAACAAAUCUAAGUGCAAAGUCUUGCACCUGUGUCAUGGCAACUCCCACUAUCAGUACGAGAUGGGGGAUGUAUGAAUGGAGCACAGCCCUGCUGAGAAGGAUUUAGGAUUACUGGUGGAUGGGAAGCUGGACAUGAGCCAGCAGUAUGCCCUUGCAGCCCAGAAGGCCAACUGUAUCCUGGGCUGCAUCAAAGGAAGUGCAGGGUGAGGGAGGUGAUCCUACCCCUCUACUCUAUGCUGUUGAGGCCUCAUCUAAGUAACAUGUCCAGAUGUGGAGUCCUCUGUACAGGAGAAACAUGGACCUGUUGGGGUGUGUCCAGAAGAGGGCCACAAAAAUGAUCUGAGGCAUGGAACAGCUCUCCUAUGAGGACAGGAUGAGAGGGCUGGAGCUGUUCAGGAUGGAGAAGAGAAGGCUCUGGUGAGGCCUGGGAGCAGCCUGUCAGUAUCUGAAGAUUGCCAAGACGUUCUGGAAUUCAGGCUCUUCCCUUUUGGUUUGAUCAGAAAAUCUUCCUUGGACUACAGUAACUUUCUUAACAGAAAUUUGGUUUUCUUCAGCAGAUUUUCAAUUAACUUGCAUUUCCUGAGUACAAAGAUGUUUCCUCAGUAUUUUUUAAAUUAAUUCUAAUUACUUAGUCAAAUUGAUCCUCAGCAAUUUUCUGUUUCCAGCUUGAUCCUUUCAGUUUUAACUGUAUGGUUCAGUGGCAAUAGAUAAUUUCUUUUCUUGAAGCCUGGGAUGAAGUUAAUGCAGCAAAGAAGCUUUCAAGCGCUC